rnacentral:rRNA from 1 species
CUCGCAAGAGUGAACUAGCUAACUGAAUCAUUAUGAGUCAUUAAUUUGGUGAUUAUGAUAACAUAAGGGAAAAAAAAUGAUAUUACCUUAUUAUUAGUGUUGUCCAAAACUGGUGCCAGAAGACUCGGUAAGACCAGAGACGCAAACGUUAGUCAUCUUAAUCAGGCGUAAAGGGUGUGUAGGCUGCUUUAAAAGUUUAAAUCUUUUUAAUAGCUCUUUUGCCGUUGUCCUGCCAUUAUUUAUUUUAUUUAUAAAAUAAUAAACAAUAAUGAAUAUAAAGGCAGUACAUUUUUAAUUUUAUUAAUAUUAAUUUAAUUUAAUAAUUAUAAAGGGGACAAAAAAGAUAUCCCGGUUUAAGUAAAAAGAAUAAAAUGAAUUAAAGCUAGAAUCAAAUUGAGGAUAAACCAAAUAAUACUUAGAGUAGGGCCGAUAUCCGCAGAUACUAAGGGGAAUACUAAAGGUGAAAGCUUUUUAUCUACUAUUGAUUGACGCUGAGAAACGAAGGUGAGAACAGGAAAUAGGAUUUGAUACCCAGAUACCUCUCACUGUCAACGAUGAAUGGUGGUUGUUAGUUUUAAUAAAAACUGGUAACGAUGUUAACACGGUAACCAUUCCGCCUUGCGAGUACGGUUGCAAAACUGAAACCAAAAAAAUUAGUCGGUUUCGAAGCAAACGAAGUGAAGCAU